CCGGUGAUAGCUCAGUUGGUAGAGCGGAGGACUGUAGAUGCGGAACAGCAAUCCUUAGGUCGGUGGUUCAAAUCCGCCUCACCGGA
rfam:Macrostomum lignano uti_cns_0003338, whole genome shotgun sequence.